CAGGCCAAUAAAAGCGUCUAGGGAGAAG
rnacentral:sRNA from 1 species